AACGAACGUUAGCGGCGCGCUUAACACAUGCAAGUCGAACGAGAAAGGCCUUCGGGCCCGGUACAGUGGCGCACGGGUGAGUAAUACGUAGGUAAUCUACCCUUGGGUGGUGGAUAACUUCUCGAAAGGGAAGCUAAUACAGCAUAAGACCACGACCUGAAACGGUUGUGGUCAAAGUCGGCCUCUAUAUAUAAGCCGAUGCCAGAGGAUGAGCCUGCGUCCCAUCAGCUAGUUGGAGUGGUAAAAGCACACCAAGGCAAAGACGGGUAGCUGGUCUGAGAGGAUGAUCAGCCACACUGGAACUGAGACACGGUCCAG
rnacentral:rRNA from 1 species